GGUUCGACGUGGGAGGGGCGGGACGCUUUGACGGGAACACCCCCGUCGGCCUCGAAGUGGGGACGGUUAACGGGCGAAGGCUUUUGGAGACGGGGGAGUCGCGCGCAGCGCCGUCUUUGAGGACGAACGGAUCCGGGGAGCAGAAGGGAGAGGCCAGAGGCCACCACGGACACGGCGGACGCGUGGACCGGAUCGGACCGGGGAGAGGGGGCCGGAUCCCGGAGACGUCGCGGAGCCCCGGGGGGUCUUGCGGGUCGGAGGGACGUCAGUCACCGGUCCGGCUCGCUGGCCGGCCCCGGCGUCGCUCGGCGGGUCUACCCUCCGCCCGGAUGAGGCUCCCCGACCGUGUGCCGUUCCGUGUCCCCUAAGCGGGAAGGAUACCGACCUGUCGCCGAGCGGAACGGAGAGGGGAGACGUGGUGAGACGACCUCGCCGGCAUGUUGACGUCGGAGGGGGCCGCGACCGACCGGUCGGGCACGGUGAACCUCGGGCCGGGCCGCCUCCCCGGCCCCCCGGGGGGUCCUCGGACGUCAGACCGCCGCGGCCCCGUCGGGCUCCGACCGCAACGGAGAAGACGUCCAUCUCUGACGGUCCGAUCUUUGCUCCCCGGACCCGAGGCGCCCUCCCCGGUCGCGGCGGGCCGCGGGCUUCUCCGUCGGGGUACUCUUUUACACGAAAGCUUACGCUUCUCGUUCCGUCUCUCUUAACCAGCGCCCGCGUCACCCGCGGCCGGCCUCGUCGAGGAGCCGCUCGGGAGUCUCGGGGGGCGGUCGGGGGUCCGGACCCUCCCCGUCGCCUCGGAUCCCGACCCCCUCUCGUCUGACGCUGUAGGGGAGGCGACGGGUUCUGGCGUCCCCCAUUUCCCGGCAGGCCAGGCGACGCCCCCGAACCCAGCAUUACGAUCCUCGGUCACGGGAGGCCCCGCGGCAGCCCCGCGCACCCUGGCCGAAGGGAAAGAGGGGGGAGAGGGGCCGGGGCCGUGGGUGGCGGGCCACCUGUGAGGGUGCUGACCGUUGAUUCGUUUCCCCCCAUCCACAGGGCCGGCGGAGAAGCGGAAAUGCCCCCGUCCCCUCCCUGCCGGACGAUCGGUCCGGAGGACGGCGCAGCCCGGCCGGCGGCCCCCGUCCCCCCACGACGCGGACGCCGCACCACGGGACGACAACCUCCGCCGUGAGGGGGCCGUACGAGGGGAGCCUCUGACGGGGCUCUGCCGCCGGUGAGCGCUCAGUAGAUAGCACCGAUGGGUUUACGUCCAAACCUCUACCCGUGCCAGACCGCAGGAGAGGUGGUGAGCCCAACCUCUCGGGGUGCCGCGUCGCGGCGAAUCCCCGAGCCCCGCUGGGAGUUUCCGGGGUGGAAGGAUACCCCGUCUGACUUUUCCUCGCGGUUCCGGGAGUCCUCGGGUGGUCCCUCCGCGCGCUCGGGGGCUCCCGGGCCGCCGCGAGAGCGGCGUCGUUUUCUCCAAGUCGACGGAGCGGUUCCUCGACGGUCGCCCACGGGAAGGGGCCAAGCUCUCCGCUUCUAACCCAGCCGUCCCCCGUGACGGAUGGCGGAGAGGACGGCGGUCUUCAAGGGUCCCCGGACACGCUUCGAGGGAAUCUCCGCGGCUCCCGCUCUUCCGGACCGCCCGCCGACCCGGAGGGGAGAGAGGGAUCUCGGCGGCUUCCGGCAGGCGAUGUCGUGCCGCGGAGGGCAGAGCCGAGCGGCCGUGAGGAGACGUGCGGCUCGGAACGCGUCACGUCCCCAGGCGGGAGAAGGGACGGAGGGUCGCUCGUCCGUCCGCGGGCCCGGGUCCCCGCCCGGCGCCCGCCGCCGCCCUACGGGCCUGGAACCGGCCCUCGAUUCUCCUCUUUCGACGCAGGAUGCCUUUCUGUGUACGGUAUAUAUUUACAUCCGAACGGGGUCUACUCCGGGAAAAGACCUCGGCGGCCAUUAGCGGAAUAAUGAAUUGAAUGAGAGAA